ensembl:lncRNA
CUUGGCUCUGGCCAGCGGCAAGUCCCUUUUGGAUCUGUCUGGAGCUGGCUCUGAUCUGACAUGGGGCAGCUGCUGGGCUCUGCUCACAGAGGCCACCCCUGCAGUCCCCUGCUGUCAAACCCUUGCCGUGUAAACCCAAUACAACUGGCAUUUCUACAUCAGGAAGACAUUUUUGAAAAACAGAAAUACUGUAUUCUUGACUGACUACAAAGCCCUUCUGCUGGUUCAUGGAAACUCUGGGUUGGACCUUCAUAUGAAAUUUCUUUUUAGUGAGAGCUACAUAUGUUUUGUAUUCUUCAGGGCACUAGGAAUGGUGCUGGUAUUCCACACUUACGCUUAAUGAAACAGAAGUUCUCUAUGUCCAUCCUGUCCUUUGAGCAUCUUUCCCUCCAGUGAAAAAGAGGAAGAAUGACAAAAACAUUUAUGAAUCUUGUGAAAGGAGCCACAGACUUUGGUCCACAUGAUGCCUGGGAUGGUGGAAAAUACUUCUACAUAUCUAUGCAACGUGAUUUGUUCAGUGUCACAGAGAAAGUUUGUGUCAGAGCCUGAAAUGGAACAGGUGCCUGUUGAAUACUGGGCUGGUACUUUAGACACAGCACCAUCCUUUUGCUAAAUCACAAAAACCAGCCACAUCUAAGGCCAGCUGAGUCUCCACAGGGGAAAGACGUGUGUCAUGACAGCAGCUAGAAAAGAGAGGCCAUCAGGAUCCAGAGUCUUCCUGCUAUGGCCUCUAUCUCUUGCUUCAUCAUUUUUAUCACAGUCUUUUUAAAGUAAGUAUAGACCAUAUUUUGCUUUCUAGAGAGGAGAUGAAACAAAAUCCACCAUGUUCAAUAUCAGUUAAGUUCUGUUACAUUUUCCUCAUCCCUUUAAUGAAACAGAUUUUGAGAUGCAGGCUGAACCUCAGAUAGGAUGCUGUUUCCUUUACUCCUUGAAUCCUUUCCAAACAAAUUCAGAGUUGAGUGACAUGGCUUGAAUUCAUCUCAGUUAUUAUUCAGAGAAUAGAAUGAAGAGUAACAGCAUGUAUCAAUUAAUUUUUCCUCAUCCACAUCCCAGCACUGUUUUUCCACAGUGAAAGCAUCGAAUACAGUCUCUGCUUUCACAAAGCUGCUCUAUCAUGAUAGUUUUCAACAACUGCUUCCUAUUGAGUUUAGCCCCAGUUUCUCUACUGAAUACCUUUACCAGUCAGGCAUGGCUAGUGCAGCUGACUGAGAAUUAGACAGGAAAGUAAAUUCUAAUGAACUGCUAAAUCAUUAUUUUUAAUACCUGUGGAAAGCUCCUGGACCACUCCAUUUUACUUAUAUCAAUAUUUGUAUUUUUCUUUUUAAUAUAGGUCAGGAAUGAAAAGAUUCAGGAAAAGAAAGAGAAGUGUUUGCUAUCAGUUUUUACUACAUACAAGUCAGCUAGACUUGACAACUGCUUUUUGAUGUCUUGGCCUAAGAGCACCUUGAACCACUGGAAACAAUCCUGGACAGCAGGAAGAAAGGAAAUAAGGUGAUCAAAAAAGUACAGAACAAAGUUGAUCAUUACUGUAAUUUUUACUUUGAAUCACAGUGAAACAAACAGCAUGCAAAAGCCCUAUAAGCACUUCGCCUCUGUAGGAAAAAAAAUAUAUAAUAAUAAUAAUAAAAAAAUGUUGUUCACAGGACA